rnacentral:rRNA from 1 species
CAGUCGCCGCGGGAAUACGGAGGAGGCUAGCGUUGUUCGGAAUUACUGGGCGUAAAGCGCACGUAGGCGGAUAUUUAAGUCAGGGGUGAAAUCCCGCAGCUCAACUGCGGAACUGCCUUUGAUACUGGGUAUCUUGAGUAUGGAAGAAGUUAGUGGAAUUGCGAGUGUAGAGGUGAAAUUCGUAGAUAUUCGCAGGAACACCAGUGGCGAAGGCGGCUAACUGGUCCAUAACUGACGCUGAGGUGCGAAAGCGUGGGGAGCAAACAGGAUUAGAUACCCCCGUAGUCCCUGUCUCUUAUAC